rnacentral:lncRNA from 1 species
UCAAUCUAGCUAGCCUUUUGGCUGGGACCGUGACCAACCCUUUUGGAAAUGGGUUCUACCAGGGUCCCAAAGAAGCUCCAUUAGAGGCUGCCUCGGCUUGUCCUGGAGUUUAUGCUAAAGGAGCUUAUCCUGGUUACGCCGGAGACCUCUUGGUGGAUGCUACGACUGGUGCCAGCUACAACGCCAACGGUUUGAACGGGAAGAAGUACUUGCUUCCUGCUUUGUUUGACCCUUCAACCUCAACCUGUUCUACUCUUGUUUGAGAGUAAUUAGGAGAUGUGACCACGUUAGAGUAUAAAUUAUGUAGAGAAUACAGUCAUUGAUUCUACAAUUCCCAUUCUUUAUUUUUUCUCAAAUGAAAAUAAUAAAAAUUCAAAUUUCACAUGAUACUUUUGCUUGUUCUGAUUUCAUGAAUAUGAAUAUUUACAUCAUGUUCUCGAAAAAACAAAAACAAAUGGUAUCUAGAUCAAACACAUAUUGGAAAUGCACUCCAAAUUAAAGAUAAAGAACAACAUAGUGUCUACUGUCUACUAAAAGCAAAACAAAAAUGAUGAUCAAUUGUAGCCAAAUACUCCUCCCCUACUGAGAAGGGGUAUCAUGAUUUAUGAGCAUGAUUAGUUAUCCAUCACCUUGUAUAAUUUCUGUAAAAUGAAACAAAUAGCUAACAAGUCAUGAAAGAGUUUUACAUGUUUCGAGUCAUGUAAAAUUUAAUGGGAUAAAAUGGUUGUAUUUUUUCUUUUUGAAAAAAAGUAUGAUAAGGCUGGUCUUACAUCAUAUCCAUUAAUGAAACUAAAGAAUACAUUGAGAUAGUGAUUUGGAGAAAAUGAUUGUAUAAUUCCCCAAGAUUGUAUGCACAAUGUAUACAUACAACGGCAUGUAAAAGUUUAUGGGUCUGCAAGCAAUACCUGGGUUAUUAAGGCAAUUGCAUAUCAGUGGCGAGUCACAUAAGCAAGAUUUAGGAAUGAAAGGCAUAUGCAUGAGGGAGAAGGCAUUUUAAUCUUGCUCCAUCAAAUCAAAGGACCUUCCUUGGUUAAUUACAUAAGCAAGAUUUAGGAAUGAAAGGCAAAUGCAUGAGGCAGAAGGCAUUUUGAUCUUGCAUUCUUGCUCCAUCAAAUCAAAGGACCUUCCCGAGUAAUUAACCGGUAAGAUAUAUCAAGUUCAGAAGAAUUCAUCGUAUUACUCAUCUGGGCUUAGCCAUGGUUGUUUUGUAUUAAUUAGUUAUGCUCAAACCCUGUAAUCUAGAAGUGAAACAUCGUUAGUAUCAAGCAUUGGCCCCAAAAAAAAAAAACACCACCCCUUAAAUUCUAGGGCUAUUAGCCUAUUACUGUGGAUCUUCCCUACCAAAACAUGCAUGCCCCCUUCCCACAGAUCCAUUCUGUGUCGAUCUUUGUUCCAUAACUGGUAGGUCCUUAGAAAAACCAUAAUUCCUUUGAGAACACUCGUUCAGUACAGUAUAUGUCGACGGAGCAUGAUACACAUACACCUGCAUCAUGUCCAUCUCUCACUGCUCCACCACAGCCGACCAUCCACUUCAUACUCCGGCCUCCAUGGCCCAGGUCGUAUAUAUCUUCGACCACCAUGUCCGGCGGUGUACACGUGUCUGACAUUAUAUUCAAGCUCGGAAUGUCCCAAAUUAAAGCACACACCAAUCCACCAUUGCCAGCCCCACUAACUUAGGAUAUGUGCACUUUCCGACCCGUGAUAUUAUAUGUUCAUGUAUGGGUCACCCCCAUCCAGGUUCUUCGCCUCUAGACCUGUAAACUGAGACAAAUUCCAGACACUCCAGACAUUUCAUAAGAUUGAAGAACUAACCCCCAAUGAUCUCCAGCUUUGCUUCUAGCAUCAGAUGACUAUGGUACGUAUUAGGAACCUGCUACCUAAUCAAGUUGGCUGUUUUAUUGAAAAACAGGGUAUCAAGCAGGGAAUUCUUCUUCUUCUUUUGUUGUUGAAAGGGAGCGAGGGUCGUUCCAUAAAAACAAGACUUGAAAAAAAUUAAUGUUACAUAAGCAUAGCUCCAUGAAAUACGACAAAAUUGAACUAUCCGAAAGAAGUCCUAAAUAACCUUAAUGUCGACAUGAAACAAUGACAUAAACCUUAACGUCCAUACUUCUAAUUUGCUGUCUUUCUUCCUAGUAAAUUGUACACAAUGUGCCACUAACCAACAACCCUCCCAUAAAAAUUCGGCAAGCUGUUAGAAUCAAACAUUUCCUUGUAUAUGAAAUCUGUGUAACCUAAACUUCAGUGGAUUUGCAAGAUAGAGUUAUCGAAUAAUAGCAAGAGCUAUAACUAUUAACAAUGAAAUAUAGUAAGCAAAGUCAAUUAGUGAUAGAGUUGAUCAACAUGGAUGAUCAGAAUAAGCUGAGCAGGAAGAUACAGAGGAAGGAGAGUCUUGUCUCUCUCACAAAGGUCACCAAAAAUAAAGAUAUCGAAGUCAAAACCCAAGUAACAUUCCCAAGGAGCAGCCUAGCCUUGAUUAAUACAGUAUACAAGUGAAGAAAUUCUAGCUAAGAUCACAACACCAGCAGCUUCCAUAAAAACACAAUCACACUUAAUGUAUAGCGUUGCACCAACCCAGCACAUAAAACUUGACUAGGUAUUACACUCUUUCUUCAUUAUGAUCACGUACAAGUGGAAUGUGCAUACUAUAGAGUAAUGGAUUUUGUUGUGUUCUCUAAGCUAGGAGAAGAUACAAAGAAGAGAGUCUUGUCUCCCACAAUGGCUAUCUAAAUAAACCGAUCAAAGUCAAGAUCAAAAACUUUCAUGGCAGAAGCCUACACACAGCUCAUCUGAAUAACUUACACCCUGUGAGGCUGUGGCAUGCAUGCACUGACUUUUAAAUCAGCUGCACGCCUGCAUCUCUUCCCACUACCUUCAUCUGUAUUCUGUUUUAAUCAUAAUUGACUAAUCUAACAUACACAAGCACUCUUCCGGAUCACACCCGAUCCAAUAGCUCACAUCUACUGAAUUGGUUAGAUUCGAGUUGAAGAAAAUAGGAAGUAGAUGGAUUAACUACAAAUUGUUAUCCCGAGGAUUGGAAAGUACAAGUUUCCAAGUUUCCUUGAUGAGACAAUUGAUCUUCUUCCUUUGAUUAGAAUUAGAAGUUAGCAACCCUAAUUUCCUUCAAUCUAAUGAGUUGCACGGUCACCAAUCUUACGUACGUAUUAAAAACGACCUAUAAGACGCAAAAUAACAAAUAUCAUUUGGUUUGAAAAAUGAUUUUAACGGAUAGUAACAGACAAAAUUAAAUACAGGAAUACUCUAUAUUUUUGCUAUUUUUUAUUUUUUAUAUUUAGAAGACCUCGGCAAAUCAGAGGUAAACUUCUACCAAAAUAAAAUGCUAUCCCAAUUCCCAAAUGACACAAACCAGUACUAGAGACUGCAUUCAACAAUUUUCUUAAUUUUUGAAUAGAAGUACAAUUCACUGUGGAAAAUACUCAUAGCUUCUCAUUAGUAUUUUGAUCAUAUAAAGUACCUUGAACGUUACGCAAAAAAUGGUUAGUGCAAAACUUUCCCUUUCAACCUCAUUGAUGAAAGUCUUAUUCGUCCUAAUUGACUUGGCUGGAUAAACCCUGUCAUCUAGUCGUUAGGUUGGGAUGAAAAACCAGAGCAAAAGCAUCCCCAAUUUAAAUUUUAAAAUGCAACGCGUUGCCCAGCUGGCCUUUAGCUCUCUCACUUUACUCCCUUCAAGUCCAACCUUUCUUUGGCUCCUUCCAUGCAUUUUCUUCCCCCCAAGUUUGAAGCACUAUAUAUAUGCAUCUCCAUAUACCAUUCCAAUCCACCAAACCUUGAGCUCCAUACCUCUUUUGUUAAAUCACUAAACUCUCAAUUCCCAAAUUCAUAGCUUUGCUAUACAAAAAACCAUGGCUUCUUUUGCUUCCUCUUGUCUACUUCUACAACUAGUCCUGCUCAUCUCUUUGUUCCAUUUUGGCUCAGCAGCUAGGAGCCUUGCUGAGACCUCAGACCAAACCCAGCAGCCUAUGCUAUUCCAAUACCACAAUGGCCCUCUUCUCACUGGUAAAAUCUCCAUCAAUUUGAUCUGGUAUGGAAAGUUUAAGCCUUCACAGCGAGCAAUUGUAUCCGAUUUCAUCACCUCCCUUUCCACUUCUUCUCCUCCAUCUAAAAACCAACCAUCAGUUGCCACAUGGUGGAAAUCCAUAGAAAAAUACUACCACCUCUCCAAUGCCAAGAAAACUUCUUCUCUUUCCCUCUCAUUGGGUACCCAAAUCCUCGAUGAGAGCUACUCUAUGGGCAAGUCCCUGUCUCAGACACACAUCAAGAAGUUGGCAGCCAAGGGUGGCCAGAGUAAUGCCAUCAAUGUUGUUUUGACCUCAUCAGAUGUUCUAAUCGAUGGGUUUUGCUCUAGCAAAUGUGGUACACAUGGUUCUUCAACGAGCUCUCUCAUCAGAGGCAAGAGCUCCAAGUUUGCUUACAUCUGGGUGGGAAACUCAGAGACCCAAUGCCCUGGUCAGUGUGCUUGGCCAUUCCAUCAGCCAAUUUACGGACCACAAUCUCCACCUUUGGUUGCACCCAACAAUGAUGUCGGUGUGGACGGUAUGAUCAUCAAUCUAGCUAGCCUUUUGGCGGGGACUGUGACCAACCCUUUCGGAAAUGGAUUCUACCAGGGUCCCAAGGAGGCUCCACUAGAGGCUGCCUCAGCUUGUCCUGGUGUCUAUGGGAAAGGAGCUUAUCCUGGUUAUGCAGGAAACCUUUUGGUUGAUGCUACAACUGGUGCUAGCUACAAUGCCAAUGGUUUGAACGGGAAGAAGUAUUUGCUGCCUGCUUUGUUUGAUCCUUCAACCUCAACUUGUUCCACUCUCGUGUGAGACCUCUUGGGCGUUGAGCGACCACGUUAGAGUAUAGAUUAUGUAGAGAAUACAGAGAUUAUGAUAAAUCAUAAAUUCUUUAUUGUUUUGAAUGAGAAGUAAUAAAGUUUCUAAAACUGUUAUUAAGUUAUGCAACAGCUUCAAGUUUACGAGUUUUGUAACAUUAUGGAGCAAAUUUUCGUAUAACUCAUCAACGAAUAAAGCUAUGAUGCCACUAUGUGAAUGCAAUUAAGAGAAACGGUACGAACCUGUGUACUAAAUGGAUUAAUACAACACAUCAAAUUUGUGGAUCUGCCACUGCAAUACAUGCAAAGGUAACUGCAUAGGAGUCCUUAUGAAAUCUGAGAUGAACAAAGAGCUACAAUACAAAGAUCAAAUAAUCAGUUUAGUCUCACAACCGUUGCUCAACAGAUGAAUCAAAAAGUUGUAUCUGGUUUUGGCUUCUAAGUUACUUGCAUAAGCAAGGAUUUAUUACCUGAUAGGUAGUCCAGAGACAUCAACAUUCUUCUGUACUUGAGCUUAUAAUACGUGAGGCUCUUAAAUUACUGGUCCUAAUUCCUCUAGUUUUUCUUUUGCGUUUGCUUGUCUUCUAAGUUAAAUGUUUUAGGAUCACAAUUACACUGUUUUGCUUUUGUUUAAAUCUCCCUAAACCUCCCUAAACCAUGAACAAAAGUACCCUAAAACUAAUACUGAUAGAGAUUAAAAAGUUAUUCAAUUUCAAAGAAAUAUUCAUGCUCACAAUGUCAUAGACAAAGCAGUACCAUCCACUGCCUUUUUUUUUUUUUUUUGGUGAGAAUUUCUUGUAAUACCAUCCACUGCCUACCCCCACUAUAUGUACACUUUCCGACCAACCAUGAUAUUGUUGAUGGAAACAUGGUAUGGCUCUGAAUUAAAGUUUUUUCACCUGUAGCCUUUAGUUUGUUUUUUCUCAAGAGAUACCAUUCAGACAGUGAGUUCAAGAAGAUUGAAGAACUAACCACAUCGAAGAACAGCUACGUAUCAACCUCCUGCAAUGUUGGGUGCAUUGCUGAAAAUCAGAAAUGAAGCUAAAGAUCACCAAAGAAAAUCCCAUCAUAUCACUAGCUAGGAAGAAACUCCUCCUGAUAAUAGGAAAGUUUAGUGUGGAUUAGCUCUAUAAGUGAUGCACAAUCGUAGAUUAAUUCCCUAUCUUACGUAGUUGUCUACAUUUUACGGAGUUGGUCUUUCAUUGCAGUAAGCUUGCCUGCUAAUACCAAAAAAGUUGAUGUAUUAAACUAUAAAUAGAUUUAUGUACCUAAGGAGAUCCAUGCUUAACUCGCUUCCUAUUAUAGUACUGUUCCACCAUCAACAGCCCACAUGAAACUUUGCUGGAUAUUAGAAUCAAACUUUUUCAUUCUUAUCCAAUCCGUGUAUCAGAAUCUGAAGUGGGAUUUGCAUGAUAUAUAGUAAUCUAGUAAUCGAAUGUUGCCUUCUGUAAUGACAAGAAGCUACAAUAAUUAACAAUGAAAUAUAUCUAACUAAAGUCAAGUGAUAGAAUUGACUGAAUAAUGCACGAUCAAAAUAAACAUCAGGAAGAUACAGAGGAAGGAGAGUCAUGUCCCUCACAAGGGUCACCAAAAUAUAAUGACAUCUCGAAGUCAAAACCCAAAUAACAAUCCCAAGGAGUAGCCUAACUUUACUAUAUGUUAGUAUAAGUGAACAAAUCUAGCUAAGAUCCCUAUUAUUCCCACCUUCUCAACAAUUGCUUCUACAAAGAAACCAUUAUGCUUAAUCUGCAAUUUUUGUUGCUCCUAUUAAUGUAUAGUGUUCCACCAAACAACCACAUGAAACUGGGGUAGCUAGCUCUCAAAAUAUUUGCUCAUCAUUAUCAAAAGUAGAGUGUGUAGUGGAUUUUGUUUUCUCUAAGAUACCAUGGAAUGGUGAGCAAUUAAAUAUAUUGAUUGGACUAAGAUGAUAGAAUUUAAUCACAUGAUCUGGAUACUUGGAUAAACAUCAGGAAGAUACAAAGAAGGAGAAUCAUAUGUAGCACAAGGUUAUCAACGAAAACCUCUAUGGCAGAAGCCUACACAGCAGCUCAUAUGGAAAACCAUAAACUCCAUUGGAAUUUGAAACCCUGGUCUGGUAGGCAUGCACUGACUUUGUCCCUCUAUUACCCGGCUGUACCUUGUCCCAUAUAAACCUUCCUCUGUAUUCUGCAUCAUGUACAAAUAAGCAAUACCCACAUCCAUAACUCAUGCUCCAGUUAAUAUCCCACUACUUUGUGAGAAUUAGAAUGAUGAGUUUCUUUCAUGGGGAUCCAUCGUUUUCCUUCCAUUUUUACUGAAUUUGAAAGUGAGUAUCAAAAUUGUACCUUCAGUCUAAUGAGUUACAUAUCUCUCUAAUUUUAUGCACCAAAGAUAUCUAUUGAAUUGCGAAAAGAAAGAUACUAUAGCUCGCAAUCAUUUAAACAUUAUUGAAGUAUAACUUACUCUCUUUAAUGCAGCACACUCUUGUGGAAAACUACAAAAUGGGGUAUGCGACGUAUUGAAUCCUCAUUGAUGAUAGUCUUAUACGUCCUAAUUGACAUGGCUGGAUAAACCCUGUCAUCUAGACUUAGAUUAGCGUUGAAAAGCAGCCCAUAUUUAAAUUGCAACGCGUUGUCUUGCUGGACUUUAGCUAUCUCACUUUACUCCCAUCACACAUCCCACACGGCCACACCUUUCUUUUUGGCUCCCUCAAGUCUUCAGCACUAUAUAUACACCUGUCCAUAGUCCUAUCUAAUCCAACCCACAAAAACUUGAGCUCUAUCAAUCUUUUCUAGCAUCACAGAACUUCCCAAAUUGAUUUCUUUGUUACAAAAGACCAUGGCUUCUUCCGCUUCCAAACACCUCUUUUCCUUUGUUCUGCUUCUCUCUCUGUUCCAUUUUAGCUCAGCAGCUAGGAGCCUUGCUGAGACCUCAGAUGAGUCCCAGCAGCCUAUACUCUUCCAAUACCACAAUGGUCCUCUUCUCACUGGCAAAAUCUCCAUCAAUUUGAUUUGGUAUGGCAAAUUCAAGCCUUCCCAGCGUGCAAUUGUUUCCGAUUUUAUCACCUCCCUUUCUUCUUCAUCUCCUUCUCCAUCUAAAAACCAACCCUCUGUUGCUACAUGGUGGAAAUUCAUAGAGAAAUACUACCACCUCGCCAAUGCCAAGAAAACCUCAUCUCUUUCCCUCUCAUUGAGUACCCAAAUCCUCGAUGAGAGCUACUCUAUGGGCAAGUCCCUGUCUCAAACACACAUCAAGAAGUUGGCUGCCAAGGGUAGCCAGAGUAAUGCCAUCAAUGUUGUUUUGACCUCAUCAGAUGUUCUAAUUGAUGGGUUUUGCUCUAGCAAAUGUGGUACACAUGGUUCUUCAACGAGCUCUCUCAUCAGAGGCAAGAGCACCAAGUUUGCUUACAUCUGGGUGGGAAACUCAGAGACCCAAUGCCCUGGUCAGUGUGCUUGGCCAUUCCAUCAGCCAAUUUACGGACCACAAUCUCCACCUUUGGUUGCACCCAACAAUGAUGUGGGUUUGGACGGUAUGAUCAUCAAUCUAGCUAGCCUUUUGGCUGGGACUGUGACCAACCCUUUUGGAAAUGGGUUCUACCAGGGUCCCAAGGAGGCUCCAUUAGAGGCUGCCUCGGCUUGUCCUGGUGUCUAUGGGAAAGGAGCUUAUCCUGGUUAUCCUGGAGACCUCUU